rnacentral:rRNA from 1 species
GAUGAACGCUGGCGGCGUGCCUAAUACAUGCAAGUCGAGCGAACAGACGAGGAGCUUGCUCCUUCGACGUUAGCGGCGGACGGGUGAGUAACACGUAGGUAACCUACCUAUAAGACUGGGAUAACUUCGGGAAACCGGAGCUAAUACCGGAUAAUAUUUCGAACCGCAUGGUUCGACAGUGAAAGAUGGCUUUGCUAUCACUUAUAGAUGGACCUGCGCCGUAUUAGCUAGUUGGUAAGGUAACGGCUUACCAAGGCAACGAUACGUAGCCGACCUGAGAGGGUGAUCGGCCACACUGGAACUGAGACACGGUCCAGACUCCUACGGGAGGCAGCAGUAGGGAAUCUUCCGCAAUGGGCGAAAGCCUGACGGAGCAACGCCGCGUGAGUGAUGAAGGUCUUCGGAUCGUAAAACUCUGUUAUUAGGGAAGAACAAACGUGUAAGUAACUGUGCACGUCUUGACGGUACCUAAUCAGAAAGCCACGGCUAACUACGUG